UACGUAGGGUGCAAGCGUUGUCCGGAUUUAUUGGGCGUAAAGAGCGUGUAGGCGGCCAGGUAGGUCCGUUGUGAAAGCCCCGGGCUCAACCUGGGAAUGGCAGUGGAAACUAGGGGACUGGAAUCUGGCAGAGGGGGGUGGAAUGCCGCGUGUAGCAGUGAAAUGCGUAGAGAUGCGGCGGAACACCGAUGGCGAAGGCAGCCCCCUGGGCUGAGAUUGACGCUCAGGCACGAAAGCGUGGGGAGCAAACAGG
rnacentral:rRNA from 1 species